AGGGCUGGGGAUCAACUCAGGAGUGCUCUAUGACUGAGAACACAAGCCUGACCAAAGGUUUUAUGAUAAAAUGGGAUAGAGUGACAGAAACCAAACCAAAGCUACAGCGCAGAACCCGCAGCCCAGCAUGACCUUGUGGUCCUUCUCCACAUCAGCAACCAGCAGAAGCGACAGGAUCCCCAGCCAGGAAUACUUUCCCCCAAGCUGUAGGUUUGGCAUGACUGCACUGAAGAUUCAAUUCAAAAAGAAUUGGUUAAAAAAUUUGGAUUCAAGAAUGAGCAAUGGUACCGUUCCAUAGCAUGUAGUUACAUGGUGGCAGAUGUACUGUCACCAGCAUGACUGUCUCCUAUGAUCAUGUGAAAACAUUCACAAGGUAGGUAGGCUACAGCUCACAGACAGGUCAAAUUUUAUCCCUUUCCAAUCAAUUUAAAGUGCAUUUCUGACUUGCAAAGAUUUGAAAUGUAAAUAAAGAGCCCUAACUUCCA